rnacentral:rRNA from 1 species
UACGAAGGGGGCUAGCGUUGCUCGGAAUCACUGGGCGUAAAGCGCACGUAGGCGGCUUGUUAAGUCAGGGGUGAAAUCCUGGAGCUCAACUCCAGAACUGCCUUCGAUACUGAGAGUCUCGAGUCCGAGAGAGGUGAGUGGAACUGCGAGUGUAGAGGUGAAAUUCGUAGAUAUUCGCAAGAACACCAGUGGCGAAGGCGGCUCACUGGCUCGGUACUGACGCUGAGGUGCGAAAGCGUGGGGAGCAAACAGG